UAACUCCCGCCGGCGACCGGCGCACGGGUGAGUAACACGUAUGAAACCUGCCCGUAGCAGGGGGAUAAGCGGAAGAAAUUCCGUCUAAUACCGCGUAACAACCCGAGGAGGCAUCUCCUCGGGUUUAAAGGAAGCGAUUCCGGCUACGGAUGGUCAUGCGUCGCAUUAGCUAGUUGGCGGGGUAACGGCCCACCAAGGCGACGAUGCGUAGGGGUUCUGAGAGGAAGGUCCCCCACACUGGUACUGAGACACGGACCAGACUCCUACGGAAGGCAGCAG
rnacentral:rRNA from 1 species